rnacentral:rRNA from 1 species
GGACGAAAGUCUGACGGAGCAACGCCGCGUGAGUGAAGAAGGUUUUCGGAUCGUAAAGCUCUGUCUUUGAGGACGAAUGUGCUUAAUGUGAAUAAUGUUAAGUAAUGACGGUACUCGAGGAGGAAGCCACGGCUAACUACGUGCCAGCAGCCGCGGUAAUACGUAGGUGGCAAGCGUUGUCCGGAAUUAUUGGGCGUAAAGCGCGCGCAGGCGGGAUAUUAAGUCUGUUUUAAAAGUUCGGGGCUCAACCCCGUGAUGGAAUGGAAACUAAUAUUCUUGAGUGCAGGAGAGGAAAGUGGAAUUCCCAGUGUAGCGGUGAAAUGCGUAGAUAUUGGGAGGAACACCAGUGGCGAAGGCGACUUUCUGGACUGUGUCUGACGCUGAGGCGCGAAAGCCAGGGGAGUGAACGGGAUUAGAUACCCCGGUAAUCCUGGCCGUAAACGAUGGGUACUAGGUGUAGGAGGUAUCGACCCCUUCUGUGCCGGAGUUAACGCAAUAAGUACCCCGCCUGGGGAGU